rnacentral:ncRNA from 2 species
UUCAGAUUCCCGGGGUGCUAAUUCGCUAUUAUGCAGAAAAGGCUGAGAUCAUACCCGCAGAACCUGAUCAGGGUAAUGCCUGCGCAGGGAGGCUUUGUUCGUUCAAA